AUUGAACGCUGGCGGCAGGCUUAACACAUGCAAGUCGAGCGGGUAAAGGUAGCUUGCUACCUGACCUAGCGGCGGACGGGUGAGUAAUGCUUAGGAAUCUGCCUAUUAGUGGGGGACAACAUCUCGAAAGGGAUGCUAAUACCGCAUACGUCCUACGGGAGAAAGCAGGGGACCUUCGGGCCUUGCGCUAACAGAUGAGCCUAAGUCGGAUUAGCUAGUUGGUGGGGUAAAGGCCUACCAAGGCGACGAUCUGUAGCGGGUCUGAGAGGAUGAUCCGCCAAAAUGGGAAUGAGGAACGGCUCAGACUCCCAAGGGGGGGAGCAGGGGGGGAAUAUUGGACAUGGGGGGAAAGCUGAUCCAGCCAAGGCGGGGGGGGUGAAAAAGGUUUUUGGUUGGUAAGGACCUUUAGCGAGGAGGAGACUACAGUGAUUAAUACUCUUGGAUAGUGGACGUUACUAGCAGAAUAAGCACCGGCUAACUCUGUG
rnacentral:rRNA from 1 species